rnacentral:rRNA from 1 species
GAUGAACGCUAGCGGCAGGCCUAAUACAUGCAAGUCGAACGGUGGUAGCAAUACCAUAGUGGCGCACGGGUGCGUAACGCGUAACCAACCUGCCCGAAACUGGGGGAUAGCCCGCCGAAAGGCGGAUUAAUACCGCAUAUACUCGCAGCCUGGCAUCAGGUAACGAGGAAAGAUUUAUUGGUUUCGGAUGGGGUUGCGUGACAUUAGCUAGUUGGCGGGGUAACGGCCCACCAAGGCGACGAUGUCUAGGGGACCUGAGAGGGUGAUCCCCCACACUGGCACUGAGAUACGGGCCAGACUCCUACGGGAGGCAGCAGUAGGGAAUAUUGGGCAAUGGACGAGAGUCUGACCCAGCCAUGCCGCGUGCCGGAUGAAGGCCUUCUGGGUUGUAAACGGCUUUUCUCAGGGAAGAAAACGGGUAUGCGUACCACACUGACGGUACCUGAGGAAUAAGCACCGGCUAACUCCGUGCCAGCCGCCGCAGUAACAC